GAUGAACGCUGGCGGCGUGCCUAAUACAUGCAAGUCGAGCGAACAGACGAGGAGCUUGCUCCUCUGACGUUAGCGGCGGACGGGUGAGUAACACGUGGAUAACCUACCUAUAAGACUGGGAUAACUUCGGGAAACCGGAGCUAAUACCGGAUAAUAUAUUGAACCGCAUGGUUCAAUAGUGAAAGACGGUUUUGCUGUCACUUAUAGAUGGAUCCGCGCCGCAUUAGCUAGUUGGUAAGGUAACGGCUUACCAAGGCGACGAUGCGUAGCCGACCUGAGAGAGGGAUCGGCCACACUGGAACUGAGACACGGUCCAGACUCCUACGGGAGGCAGCAGUAGGGAAUCUUCCGCAAUGGGCGAAAGCCUGACGGAGCAACGCCGCGUGAGUGAUGAAGGUCUUCGGAUCGUAAAACUCUGUUAUUAGGGAAGAACAAAUGUGUAAGUAACUAUGCACGUCUUGACGGUACCUAAUCAGAAAGCCACGGCUAACUACGUG
rnacentral:rRNA from 1 species